AAGCAGACAACAGAUACUGAUCAUGAAAAAAACAAGGAAAACAAUUGUUUCAAUUAAAGGCGUGACAUCCACAACAGAACGUUUUGCAUCUGAUGAGCAAAAACAAGGGUGUUUCAGAUGCAGCAAGCAGUGUAAGAAGCUAUAUAAAAGGACUUGCAAACCAGUGCUCUCUACUUGCCUUUUUCGUUCUACUCUGUAGGAAAUCAGGUUCGCCUCCAGCACAGCAAGAUGUUUGACAGCCUGGACAUGAUUGAAGACCUGCAUUACCCGGGCCAGCUUGACUGUAGACCCCCCUACCCAGGAAGGCGAUAUUGGUGUUGCUGCUAUGACCGAUACGGAUGCCUAGUUUGGCAGGGCCCAUGCUGUUAUCCAGGCCCCUGGUGUCGCCGUUAGGAACAGCUCUGGAAGGUGGUGGCAAUGCUGAAUCCAGCUCAAACAUCCACUGUCCUGGGGGGAAAGAAGAAAUGAAAAGCAAGAUACAGAUUCACGGCUCACCUGAAGGACAUGGCUUUGAGCAGUGCUAAGCACUCAGCACCUCCGUUGUGAUGGGCUUCACAUUGCUAGAUGACUCCCUCCCCCACACAUGUGUUUCCUACACCUCACUUUGCCACUCUAGGAACCUCAAAUUCUCCGCACUGUUAAGCAGUACGACCUCUUCUUUCUGUGCUGCCAUUUAAAAGGAAGCCUCAUCCUCCUUAUAGUCCAUUUGUAAUCCAUUGCAGACCACUUGACACAGCCACAAAGGCGUACAAGAGGUUUGGUGUCAACAGGCCUAGAAUCCCGGUUGUGGCCCCUUGGACAGUCUUGGGAAUAUUGGCUCUCUCUUCUGUAUCCCUUCUGUGCCUUUACACGCAAGUUCUUCUGUGCAUUAAAAUCCCUUUGUAGCAUAA